UGAAAAUUUCGAAGAAGAUUGUUAGGAGGCGAAGAUAGGGACGUAAUCGAGCAAUUUUUCGUGAUGUUCUUCAUUGAAAUUUGAUCAAGCAGUUUUUCGCCUUAGGCAGGAGAACGAACUGGCGAGGAAUUGCUUAAGGAACGAGAAGAAAUAUCCACCAAUCUUGACUCGUGCAGAAGUUCUGCCAUAAGAGGAGCACAUUUCAUAUCUGUACCUGUACCGGAGGCCACCCGAUUCUUUGCAGCAUUUGAGCACAGUUGUGAUUAUCGGCAUGAAUGGAAGUUUCUACAGUCUACAGGUGCAGCUUUGAUUUGGCUAACGGAGGAGAGAUGGGUCAGAUCGAAUGUAGCCGGUUUCUGAAGACGGAUUUUCAGUUUCUAUGUACAUGACCAUUGCUUUGUGUAGAUUGAUGAAUCUGAGUAAGACUUGAGUCUUGGAAAGGAACUUGGCUCUGACCCUAUUCUCCAUCUUCUUGGCUGGAACGACCUCGGGGGUCUUCUUCGUCUUCCCAAAGUGCGCGAUUUGUAUGGAUGUUAUGAUUUUUUCUCUUCUUUGUGCUGUCAGGAAAAAAAAGAUUGGAGCUUUUGCACUUGAUAUACAAGCUGGCAAAAUCCAUUCGAGGAGCUAACGAAACAGAGACGGAUUGAAUCUGGGACUUGUUUUUCGGGCUAAAGAGGAUGAAUUUACAAUGGUCAACAAAUUUCACAUGCCAUGUAUCAACAGGAAUGUUUCAAAACGGAGGAUCGGCUGAAAUGGUGAGACUUGCGUGAGCAAACGCUGGUCCUGGCCGAACAUAUCCCGGUCCUGCUGCUGCUGCUGGUCUUCCUGAUGACGAAGAUGAUGGCAUGUCGAUGAAGUUCUCCGAUCUUGGGAGGAACGUAGGAUCCAGUGGCGGCGGCUUCGAUGGACCACUCAGGUGGAUUUCUCCUGAACCAGCAGCUCCUUCUGUGAAUGAUUUGAUUUCAGGGUGGCUGUCGCUGUUGGUGUUCAACACAAUUCCUCCAACAUCUCCUGUGGAAGAAGAAGAGGAAGAAGGAUAUACGGAUGGAUACAUCGACAAACCCAUGAGGCUUGUUGGAGUUUUUCCUCCUCAACUGAAAGCUCCCAACUUCUUCUUCUUCAGACCUCAUA